UGAAAAUGGAUGGCGCUGAAGCGUCGUGCUUAUACUCGGCCGUCAGCGGCAUGUGCGAUAUCGGCACGCACUCGUGCGUGUCGGUGUCAUGAAGCUCUGACGAGUAGGAGGGUCGCGGCGGUGAGCGCAGAAGGGCUGGCCGCGAGGCCGUCUGGAGCCGCCGUCGGUGCAGAUCUUGGUGGUAGUAGCAAAUACUCCAGCGAGGCCCUGGAGGACUGACGUGGAGAAGGGUUUCGUGUGAACAGCCGUUGCACACGAGUCAGUCGAUCCUAAGCCCUAGGCGAAAGCCGAUGUUGAUGUGGCGUUUUUUCUAAUAAAAGAGUUCACGCCCGUCGGGCGAAAGGGAAUCCGGUUCCUAUUCCGGAACCCGGCAGCGGAACCGGUACAAUAGUCGGGCCCUCGCAAGAGAGUUCGUCGGGGCAACCCAAAAGGACCCGGAGACGCCGUCGGGAGAUCCGGGAAGAGUUUUCUUUUCUGCAUAAGCGUUCGAGUUCCAUGGAAUCCUCUAGCAGGGAGAUAUGGUUUGGAACGCGAAGAGCACCGCAGUUGCAGCGGUGUCCGGAUCUUCCCCUCGGACCUUGAAAAUCCGGGAGAGGGUCACGUGGAGGUGUCGCGCCGGUUCGUACCCAUAUCCGCAGCAGGUCUCCAAGGUGAAGAGCCUCUAGUCGA
rnacentral:rRNA from 1 species